GGGGGCUGGAUAGGCCUCGAGCUUAUUGGAGGCUUCGAGGUCGUCCCUUUCCAGGCUAGAAGCCCGACGGACGGAAUCCCUCAGAGAGCCCCAGGGGGGUAAUCCCAGCUCCAAGAUCGGGCAUCCGACGUAGAAGUACCUCUCCUUCCAGUUGUGGAUAGAAGAGGGGGUGCCUUUCAACAACCCCUUUCUACCGAACUGGAGGGAGAAGUACCAC
rnacentral:lncRNA from 1 species